rnacentral:rRNA from 1 species
AACGAACGCUGGCGGCAUGCCUAACACAUGCAAGUCGAACGAGACCUUCGGGUCUAGUGGCGCACGGGUGCGUAACGCGUGGGAACCUGCCCUUAGGUUCGGAAUAACUCCCCGAAAGGGGUGCUAAUACCGGAUAAUGUCUUCGGACCAAAGAUUUAUCGCCUUUGGAUGGGCCCGCGUUGGAUUAGCUAGUUGGUAGGGUAAAAGCGUACCAAGGCGACGAUCCAUAGCUGGUCUGAGAGGAUGAUCAGCCACACUGGGACUGAGACACGGCCCAGACUCCUACGGGAGGCAGCAGUGGGGAAUAUUGGACAAUGGGCGAAAGCCUGAUCCAGCAAUGCCGCGUGAGUGAUGAAGGCCUUAGGGUUGUAAAGCUCUUUUACCCGGGAUGAUAAUGACAGUACCGGGAGAAUAAGCGCCGGCUAACUCCGUG